rnacentral:rRNA from 1 species
AGAAUCAACGCUGGCGGCGUGCCUAACACAUGCAAGUCGCACGAGAAAGGGUAGCAAUACCUGAGUACAGUGGCGCACGGGUGAGUAACACGUGAAUGAUCUACCUCCGAGUGGGGAAUAACUGAGAGAAAUCUUAGCUAAUACCGCAUAAUACCCACGGGUCAAAGCAGCAAUGCGCUUGGAGAGGAGUUCGCGGCCGAUUAGUUAGUUGGCGGGGUAAUGGCCCACCAAGACGAUGAUCGGUAUCCGGCCUGAGAGGGCGCGACGGACGACGACUGGAACUGAAACACGGUCCAGACUCCUACGGAGGCAGCAGUGGGGAAUUUUGCGCAAUGGGGGAAACCCUGACGCAGCAACGCCGCGUGGAGGAUGAAGCCCCUUGGGGUGUAAACUCCUUUCGAUCGGGAAGAUAAUGACGGUACCGAUAUAAGAGCCCCGGCUAACUUCGUGCCAGCAGCCGC